rnacentral:rRNA from 1 species
UACAGAGGGUGCGAGCGUUGUUCGGAAUUAUUGGGCGUAAAGAGCGCGCAGGCGGUCGAUCAAGUCGCGUGUGAAAGCCCCCGGCUCAACUGGGGAGGGUCACGCGAUACUGAUCGACUCGAAGGCAGGAGAGGGUAGUGGAAUUCCCGGUGUAGUGGUGAAAUGCGCAGAUAUCAGGAGGAACACCAGUGGCGAAGGCGGUGAUCUGGGCCGAUACUGACGCUGUAGAGCGAAAGCGUGGGGAGCGAACAGG